AGAGUUUGAUCCUGGCUCAGGACGAACGCUGGCGGCGCGCUUCAUGCAUGCAAGUCGAACGAGAGACCCCGGGCUUGCCCGGGUUAUCUAGUGGCGAACGGCUGAGUAACACGUGAGAAACUUGCCCUUAGGCGGGGGACAACCACGGGAAACUGUGGCUAAUACCGCAUAAUGUCCCAAUACAUAAGUAUUGUGACCAAAGACUUCGGUCGCCAAAGGAGAGUCUCGCGGCCUAUCAGCUUGUUGGAGAGGUAAAGGCUCACCAAGGCUAUGACGGGUAGCCGAUCUGAGAGGAUGAUCGGCCAGAGGGGGACUGAGACACGGCCCCCACUCCUACGGGAGGCAGCAGCAGGGAAUCUUGCGCAAUGGGCGAAAGCCUGACGCAGCGACGCCGCGUGGGGGAUGAAGGCCCUAGGGUUGUAAACCCCUUUUGCUGUGGAAUAAGAUCUGAAGGUACACAGCGAAUAAGGCCCGGCCAACUACGUGCCAGCAGCCGCGGUAAUACGUAGGGGCCAAGCGUUGUCCGGAUUUAUUGGGCGUAAAGGGUGCGUAGGCCGCUCGAACAGUCCGUUGCGAAAGCUCCCGGCUCAACUGGGAGAGGUCAGCGGAUACUAUCGAGCUAGAGGACGGCAGAGGAAGGUGGAAUUUCCGGUGUAGCGGUGGAAUGCGUAGAUAUCGGAAGGAACAUCAGUGGCGAAGGCGACCUUCUGGGCCGUUUCUGACGCUGAGGCACGAGAGCGUGGGUAGCAAACCGGAUUAGAUACCCGGGUAGUCCACGCCCUAAACG
rnacentral:rRNA from 1 species